CAUUUUAUGGGCUCAGCAAUUCGCCCUCUAUCGAUUUCCACGGUAACACAAUGACCACAAACUGAACAUCGAAAAAAUGCUUGCUUCAUGUCGGGUAUUACAGGUGUACACCUAAGUACCAGACCUUUAAUAGAGAUCAAUUUGUCAAUGUCACCAGGAUUAAGAUCACGCAUAUUAAUGCAUUUUUCAAGAUUAAAAGGACGAAUUUUGUAAAUUUUAAGCUCAAUGUCAUUAAGAACAUCUUCGGGAGGAUUAGUU